GUACCUACGGGAGGCAGCAGUGGGGAAUAUUGGGCAAUGGGCGCAAGCCUUACCCAGCAAUACCGCGUGAGUGAAGAAGGUCUCCGGAUUGUAAAGCCCUUUGAUCAGGGACGAACAGAUGACGGUACCUGAAGAACAAGCCCCGGCUAACUACGUGCCAGCAGCCGCAGUAAAACGUAGGGGGCGAGCGUUGUCCGGAAUGACUGGGCGUAAAGGGUGCGUAGGCGGGCUUUUAAGUCAGCGGUAAAAAUUCGGGGCUCAACCCCGUCCGGUCGUUGAAACUGGGGGCCUUGAGUGGGCGAGAA
rnacentral:rRNA from 1 species